rnacentral:rRNA from 1 species
UACGGAGGAUGCAAGCGUUAUCCGGAAUGAUUGGGCGUAAAGCGUCCGCAGGUGGCUGUGUAAGUCUGCUGUUAAAUAGUGAGGCUCAACCUCAUAAAGGCAGUGGAAACUACACGGCUAGAGUGCGUUCGGGGCAGAGGGAAUUCCUGGUGUAGCGGUGAAAUGCGUAGAGAUCAGGAGGAACACCGGUGGCGAAAGCGCUCUGCUAGGCCGCAACUGACACUGAGGGACGAAAGCUAGGGGAGCGAAUGGG